AGGCCAGAAUCAAGUUUAUACAUGGGGACCUCAGAAAGAAAGGCAUGACACAGCAAGGCAGAGACCGAAAGAGGAGAGUCACGCAGAAGAUCUGGCUUCAGGAGAGAGAGACGCGGCUACAGCUUAGUGCCUAUAUGGGUAUACUGGCCAUUUUGAAGGAGUAUGUCAUGGUUUUUCAGGGUAGCCAGACAUUAGUCCACAAGCUGCACGACAGACAGCUUGAGCUGUUCCUGACUUUCCUGGGCUGUUUUGUCAAGGCAGAGCACUUCACGCA